ACGCAGCAAGGUUAAGGAGUUACCUGAUUCAAUUUGCUCUUUGGAUAACUUGGAAAUUCUAGACCUUAAAGGAUGUGAGUGUCUUUCUAGACUUCCUGAAAGGAUUGGAAAUUUGCGUCACCUAAGCGAGAUUGAUUUAAGUCAUAGCAAAGUUGAGGAGUUACCUGAUUCAAUUUGCUCUUUGGAUAACUUGAAAAGUCUAUACCUUGAAAGAUGUGAAUAUCUUUCUAGACUUCCUGAAGGGAUUGGAAAUUUGCAUAAGUUAAGAUUGAUUGAUUUAAGAGGGUGCAAAGUAGAAGUGUUGCCUGAUUCAAUUUACUCUUUGAAGGACUUGAUAAUUGAACGAUGAGACCUGAAUUGAAGAUUUGAAAAUUGGGAAAUCAGUAAACUAGAGGAUCAGAUUAUUGUGUAGAGUGGGGAUGAUGCAUGCCUACCUCGUCAAGGCUGAAGGUAUGUUGAAGGCAAUAACUCAUCUGCAGCUUUGUUUGUACGUAGUUGAAGUGUUUGAGUGAGUAACUCCAAGGGGAUAGAUAGAUGGGGAAGUUGAAGUAAUUAAGUAACAGCAAGGGAAGGGGAGGUGUGAAUUACCAUUGAAUUGAAGAAUCCAAUCCAAUCUUCUAAAAGCUGUAGUAUUACAUACAACUCACUCACUCCAUCUUUGUUUGAGGAGGCGGCAAAGACCACUGCCACUAAAGGCACCGGCGGUGCUGCUGCUACUUCAUGCCCAGAUAUGAUCGAUGCAAACUUCCACUAUAUGGCUGCAGCUUAAAUGAAAUAGAGGGACUAAAUCACAAGCUGGCAUGUCUCAAAAACAUAAGGGCAACACCGCGUAAUGAAGUCCCUUGCAAUUGGAUUUCGGUGUUGACACCAAGGAGAUAGAAGGAAAGCCGAGCUUUCUACCUGUAUUGGCAGAUGACGAUGAGUUCCUAAUUAAUCAUGGGGUGUGAUGGCCUUUGGGAUGUGAUGAGUAGCCAGUGUGCUGUGACAAUUGCCAGGAAGGAAUUGAUGAUGCACAAUGACCCCGAGAGGUGUUCAAGAGAGCUAGUUAGGGAAGCCCUCAAGCGCAACACUUGUGACAACUUGACAGUAAUCGUGGUUUGUUUCUCCCCCGAUCCUCCGCCUCAGAUAGAAACGCCUCAAACACGAGUCAGGCAGAGCGCAUCAACGGAAAGAUCCAAUCUUCUAAAAGGCGUAUUAGAAAGCAACUCAUGACAAACGGCACUUUGGAAAAA